UCCCCCAAACCCUAGAGAAGCCAGAGAUGACGCCCUACACACUAUUCAUCGUCUCAUUCAUUGAUCCUUAACCCUCAACUCGCCAUAACUCACCCGAGUUCACUCAAAACGGUCCCCCUCUCCACGUCACCUCUAUUUCCCAACGGAUUUGUCAUAGGGGAGUACGAAUAUUCCCUCAAAAUCGCGGAUUUUUGUACAAAAAGGAUAAUUGUUGGAUGAAUGGGAGCUGUGGAUAGAUGUGAAUCAAUCCACGCCCUCCAUUUGUCCCAAAAUUGUUCAAAAACAUGAAGGAUUUUCAGAUUUUUGGGCAGAUUAUUUGGAGAGUUUGAAGACUAUAUAUACGAGGUAGACAUUCUUUGUAAGAUUAGAGAGAAAAAUCGGAUAAAAAUCUUCAGAAAAACUUAGUCAAAAUUUCUAGGUUUUUUUUUAUUUGUCAUCUCUUCAGACCUUCUUCUCUUUUUUCUGCAGAAACAUAAAAAAAAGAGACAUCAUGGUUUGAGUUCAUUUUUUUACUCUAUUUUUUAGAGAAAAAAUCAAAAAGGAGUUACUGAAAACAAAUUUUCUUUAGCGUUUGUUCUUUGGGUUGGAGUUUUGUUUCUCAAGGGAGCUUGAUUUAACGGUUCAAGUUGAAGUCGAGUUUUCUUUUGGAGUUCAAAAUUUCAGUCUUGGUUCGGGUUCAAGCUGGUUGAUUCCUGUGUUCUUGUUGCGCUGCUGUUAUUGCUGAUUUUUUCUGCUUGCGCCGAGCUUUGCUGAGUUUUCUAGCUUCUUUUUAUUUCUUGCUUGUAGAGGUACGAAUUCCUACUAUUGAGAACUUUCAAAUGUUUGUAGUCGUUGAAAUUUGUGAGAUAUAAUUAUUGAGCCUCAUGUGUGUUUUCUCUCAUUGUUUUAUUGUUAAUGUCCAAGUUGUAAGUAAAAUGAGUUUAAUGACCAAUUCUGUUAGUUCUUCAGCAGAUUUUUGUUUGGACACAUUUGUAUCAGUUGUGCUAUGUGCUCUGAAAUGGUCUAUAAGGGCGUAUUCCUAGAUCUGUUGAUUGUGUGGGUUUAGCCCUUUUAGUAAGUCAAGUACUCCACC
rnacentral:lncRNA from 1 species